rnacentral:rRNA from 1 species
CAGUAGCGCGGUAAUACAGAGGGUGCGAGCGUUAAUCGGAUUUACUGGGCGUAAAGCGUGCGUAGGCGGCUUCUUAAGUCGGAUGUGAAAUCCCUGAGCUUAACUUAGGAAUUGCAUUCGAUACUGGGAAGCUAGAGUAUGGGAGAGGAUGGUAGAAUUCCAGGUGUAGCGGUGAAAUGCGUAGAGAUCUGGAGGAAUACCGAUGGCGAAGGCAGCCAUCUGGCCUAAUACUGACGCUGAGGUAUGAAAGCAUGGGGAGCAAACAGGAUUAGAUACCCCAGUAGUCCCUGUCUCUUAUACA